ensembl:lncRNA
UCUUCAAAUUGUAGCACCUGUUUUUAAACUGCUAAUAACUGAAACUGGAUAGCAUUCCUAAGUUACACUUUUACUUCUCCUCUCAUUCACCUUUCAAGUUACAGCUUAAAUAUUUUUAUAUUGUGUAUCCAAUAACAGAUUAUUAUAGUUGUGAUAUUUUUCACUACCUUUGCUUUUUAACUUUUAAAUUCGAUUGGUAUGUGAAUUACACACAGCUUUACUGUAUCACAGACUCUCUGACCAUAUAUUAACCAUUCCCAGUGAGUCUCAUGCUACCUUCUUAUGUUUUAAUAAUGUUAACUAGAGUCCUUUUGCUGCCAUUAAAGAACUCCUUGUAACAUUUCUUGUAAGGCAGGUGGCCUGGUAAUAACUCCCUCAGCUGUUGUGCAUUUGGGGCAGUCUGUCUCUCCAUUUCUGAAAGACAGCUUUGCCAGAUACAGAAUUCUUGGUUGACAAUUUCUUUUUCUUCCAGUAUUUUGAAUCUAUCAUCCUAUUCUCUCCUGACUUGAAAACGUUUUGUUGAAAUAUCCACUUAUAGUGUUAUAGGGUUCCUUUUUAAGUAUGUGCGGGGGCUACUGGCUUUGUUCUGCAGACCAUCAACUCCUCCUGCCAGACCCUGGCCUCCAGCCUCGCUGAGCCACACAGUCCCACAGCUGUUACCACUCAGGUUUUCUGAUCCACUGGGCCCCAGAGCUCCUCUCGAAAGUGGGUGGGACUGUGAAUUAGCCUCCCAGCUUGAGCAGGAGAGGGCCAGACUCGGUUCCAGGGCCCCAGCAGGGCUCCUCUUUUUGAGGGCCUCCUUCAGGCAGAUCUGCACCCCUCCGAGUUCCCUGGUCAUAUUGUUGGUAUCCUGGCUCUGCAGAUGAGUAAAGCUGCUGGCUGAGAUGACAAUUCCUAGGACGCUGAAGACUGAUGGCUGGACUUUGGCAGCCACUUUGGAUCCUGAGUUGACUCUGAGAAGAGUAGAGAGAGGAGAAAGAGGAAGCCUGGGAUGCUGAGGACCAUGGAUGUGCCAACCAGCCCAGAAUUACUCACCUGCAGACAUCAUCUUUAUCU